GAUGAAGAACGUAGUGAAAUGCGAUACUUGGUGUGAAUUGCAGAAUCCCGUGGACCAUCGAGUCUUUGAACGCAAGUUGCGCCCGAAGCCAUUAGGCCGAGGGCACGCCUGCCUGGGCGUCACACGUCGUUGCCCCCCCAUCUACUCCUUCGGGAUUGCGGGGGGCGGAUGAUGGCCUCCCGUGCGCCUCGUCGCGCGGUUGGCAUAAAUGCCAAGUCCUCGGCGACGCACGCCACGACAAUCGGUGGUUGCGAAACCUCGGUUGCCCGUCGUGUGCGGUCGUCGCGCAUCGAGGGCUCGAAAAAAUUGUCGGGCUCCGGCUCGGCUUUCAACGCGACCCCAGGUCAGGCGGGGUUACCCGCUGAAUUUAAGCAUAUCAAUAAGCGGAGGA
rnacentral:misc_RNA from 1 species